rnacentral:rRNA from 1 species
GACGAACGCUGGCGGCGUGCUUAACACAUGCAAGUCGAACGGAAAGGCCCUGCUUUUGUGGGGUGCUCGAGUGGCGAACGGGUGUGUAACACGUGAGUAACCUGCCCCUGACUUUGGGAUAUCUUCAGGAAACUGGGGCUAAUAUCGGAUAGGAGCUACUGCAGCAUGGUGGGGGAUGGAAAGUUUCGGCGGUUGGGGAUGGACUAGCGGCUUAUCAGCUUGUUGGUGGGGUAGUGGCUUACCAAGGCUUUGACGGGUAGCCGGCCUGAGAGGGUGACCGGGCACAUUGGUACUGAGAUACGGCCCAGACUCCUACGGGAGGCAGCAGUGGGGAAUAUUGUACAAUGGGCGGAAGCCUGAUGCAGCAACGCCGCGUGCGGGAUGACGGCCUUCGGGUUGUAAACCGCUUUCGCCUGUGACGAAGCGUGAGUGACGGUAAUGGGUAAAGAAGCACCGGCUAACUACGUG